rnacentral:tRNA from 4 species
GCCCCUGUAGCUCAACGGAAGAGCACCUGCUUUCGACGCAGAUGGCUGGGAGUUCGAAUCUCUCCAGGGGCGC